rnacentral:misc_RNA from 1 species
CGACCUGCGGUUACCGGUGGAACUUCCCAAACCGGCGCGGCGGCUGCAGUAACGGCGCGGCAGAAAGCCGGAAACUCGUCCAUCCGGCUGGCCCCUGCUCUGCGCAGCUCAGAUUGGCCCCGCCGCCUGCAGCUGGAGGAAAGAUCGCACUCGGCUGGAGGCCCCGAGUCAGUGCACUGCGGCGCGGCCCACUCGAUACAGGCGGUCCGGCAUCACUUGUGGACGAUCCUUAGUGAGGAGCAGUAAGGCGUGAGGAUCGUCACGUCACAUCAAUAGUAACGUGACGUCACGUCACGUACGACCACCGACGUCAGUGUGCCGUAUCGACUGACGUGUGAAUCAGUUCACGUCUGCCCGGUCGGUGGAGCGAUCGGCACCUAUACAGGAGCAGCCCCGAGACCAGGAUGGACACCAAACGAAAAUCAAGUCGCAGCGGGUCGCUGCCGCCACACACCGCCAUGAGGACGGCCAAGUGGUACAUGUGCGUCUUCCUGGUGGCGUUCCUCUACUUCUACGUGAUGCUGAUCAAGCAGGUGCGAGGCGCCGAGGUGCCGCCGCGGCCCCUGCUGCCGGCCGAGGGUCGCCAGGCGCCGGCGUACGAGCCGCCCCAGUUCGACCCGCAGUUCCAGGACGGUGAGACGGACUCUGUCGGCUUCAGCUACCACAACUACGACCAGCUGACGGCCUACAUGCGGAAGGUGGCGGCAGAGCGGCCGGACAUCACGGCACUCUACUCGAUCGGCACCUCAGUUCAAGGUCGUGAACUCUGGGUUCUGGUCGUCUCCGCCUCACCCUACGAGCAUAUGAUCGGCAAGCCCAACGUGAAAUACGUCGGCAACAUUCAUGGCAACGAGGCGAUCGGCCGAGAGGUUCUCAUUCACCUAAUCGAGUACCUGACGACCCGGUACAACACGGACCCGUACGUCAGCUGGCUGCUGGACAACACGCGCGUGCACAUCAUGCCCUCGAUGAACCCGGACGGAUUCGAAGUGAGCCGAGAGGGCUCCUGCCAGGGCGGCCAGGGAAGGUUCAACUCGAACGGCUUCGACCUGAACCGUAACUUCCCGGACUACUUCAAGACCAACAAUAAGAAGAGCCAGGUGGAGACGGAGGCGAUCAAGGAGUGGCUGAACAAGAUCCAGUUCGUGCUGUCGGCCCAGCUGCACGGAGGUGCCCUGGUGGCCAGCUAUCCGUUCGACAACACGCCCAACGCCGUGAUCCGCCAGUUCCGUACCACGGAGUCGCGCUCGCCUGAUGACGACACUCUCCGACACCUGGCUAAGGUGUACUCGUACAACCACGGCCAAAUGUACAAGGGCGAGCCGUGCGCCAACAAGGGACUGGGCGCCGAACGCUUCCCUGACGGCAUCACCAACGGAGCCAAGUGGUACCCGCUGACCGGAGGGAUGGGUGACUACAACUACGUCUGGCACGGCUGCAUGGAGCUGACGCUCGAGCUCUCCUGCUGCAAGUACCCCGAGGCGCGCCAGCUGAGGAGCUUCUGGAGGGAUAACAGGAAGGCGCUGGUGAAGCUCCUGGGCGAGGCUCACCGCGGCGUGCGCGGCUACGUGGUCGACAUCAACAACAACCCGAUCGAGGGCGCCGGCCUGAAGGUGAAGGGCAGGAACAUCGGAUUCCAGACCACCCAGCACGGAGAGUUCUGGCGCAUCCUGCGGCCCGGAAACUAUGUGAUGGAGGUGUUCGCCGAGGGCUACUACCCGCGUGAGCAGGCCUUCAGCGUCAGUGAGGAGCGCCCCACUGAGAUCUCCAUCCUGCUGGAGCGUGUGCCGGGGGGGAGAGACCGCUGAGGACCGAUCGAAGAUCUUUUUCCCGAAAUAAAGCACAAAUGGUCGUCGGGAUACGAGGUGAACCGACACGACUUCACUCCGCCGCCGCUGGCUCCGCCUCCGCCCACGGCCGCGCCCUCGGGGCUCAGCGGGUUGUGGACGCGCCUGACCGGAGGAUUUCAGAGUCUGUUCGGCUAGAAUCGUAUCCAACUAGCUUGCUCUACCGCUGGCAGACGGAUGAGCGGCGCAGUGUUGUGCGCUGCGUCGUGCAGAGCCACGAUCUGAGAAGCGCGGGUUCGCUUAGAACCGAGCGACUGAGCGAGGGUUCCCCGCGGCUUGUGACCUCCUGGUGACUAUUCGAGCUGUUCUUGAAUGUCGUGUAGAUCGCGUGUCGAGACAGAUAACUCCGCUCCCGAUCUACCAGUGCUGGUUAGGCUGACAUGAUGCCUGUUGUUUGUAUUGUGCGGUGUCGGGCCGGCCGGCCUGACGGCUGAGCCGGGCUGUUAUUUUAGUGUUGACUGAUACCGCUGAUGUUGUUGGGACUGACCAGUGACCGGCGGUUCGCCCGGCUGUUGUAUACCGGAGAUUCUACAUUGGGCAAUGUGCUGAGGGACGAGUGUGCGCUGUUUAUAGUUUGGGCUGAGUGUUAAUAAGUGUAUAGAGAUGCAGUGGAGCAUAUCGUUCUCAACUGAACUAGUUUUGUUGUGCAUCUCUCAGCUCUUCACUUUUUCAUAUUUGUUACUGAUUCAACACGCCCAAAGAUAAUUCGAAUUAUUAUGAAGACUCCACCUCAUUCUAUAGAGUCUAUAUAUAGAAUAUCCAAGACAGUUAGGAUAAAUGAUAACAAUAACACGUCAAAUGUAUAUUUAAACACACAAAGCUUUCGGUAUGAAAAUACCUUGAUCACUGUGUUAACAGAAGAGUUUCUGUCCUCAUUUCUGUUAACACAGUGAUCAAGGUAUUUUCAUACCGAAAGCUUUGUGUGUUUAAAUAUACAUUUGACGUGUUAUUGUUAUCAUUUAUCCUAUAGAGUCUAUGGUAAACACUGUCGCUCGUGCCUCUCUUGCCUCUUCAUUUCAUCUCAGUUUCUUGACUUACGCACUAAGCUGUUGAAAUAUGUGUAAAUAUGUAUGUGGAUGACCUGUUGCACUAUUCAAACUGAUCGUACAAUACAUAUUAUAUUCAAA